UACGGAGGGGGCAAGCGUUGUCCGGACUUACUGGGCGUAAAGGGUGCGUAGGCGGCCUGCUGCGUCGGUGCUGAAAGCGCCCGGCUUAACCGGGCGAGGCGUGCCGAUACGAGCGGGCUGGAGCCUUGGCGAGGGUGGCGGAACUCCUGGUGUAGUGGUGAAAUGCGUAGAGAUCAGGAAGAACAUCCGUGGCGCAAGCGGCCACCUGGCCAAGAGCUGACGCUGAGGCACGAGAGCGUGGGGAGCGAACCGG
rnacentral:rRNA from 1 species